CCUCCCCCACUAUUUUCACCAAAAUCCAGCCUUGAUUUGCAUCCCUUUCCCUAGUUAUAAAAUUAGUCCAUAAUGGGAAUUGUCUAUUUACAUGAACAUAAGCGACUUUUUAUUUGGCUUCCAUUUAUGAAUAUUAAAGGUCCAUUUACAUUGUUAUUUGUUGUUAAGUUGUUACUACUAAUCUUUUUUCAAACUGGUAAAUCUUUUCAAAGCCCCCCUUCUUUCGUCUCUCUGUAUUUUUUCAAAGCCCCCCCCUUCAGGUUUUAAAAAAAUUAAAGGCCCCCAGUUUCUCCUCAAUCCCCUGUACAAUAAAUAACGAGCGGUCCCUAAAUGAAUAUGAAAUAGAGUUUAUGUUCAGAAAAAUUCGAAACAUUCGAAAUUUGGGAAAUGUUCACAUUAGAUCUCGAGGUCCUCACAUUGUUAUGAGCAGAACCGAUGCGCAGAACGGACUUGACUUCCCCUUUAACUAUUUCUAUGUCAUAUGAAAUAAAAUAUGACACGCAGCCGUUGAACGAAAAUUAUGCCAAGAAAAGUCGGCCUUGCCGUUUGGCGUUCCGCAAACGUGAAGCUUAUUACUGUAAAACCCGAGCAAAAUUGCAAAAACCUGAAGUUUUUUCAGAAAACCAGGGGGUGUGGAAAAUGGAAAUUGUAGCGGGCUCAAAUCCGAGCCUGCCAACCUGGUCAGUGGUAAUUACCAUCAGAAAUACGGACCAGUUGUCAUGG